AUGGUUAGGAUUGGGAAGGCACCUGAGGAGAGGGAGAUGAACCCUGAUAGGAAAACAGCACUUGAAUUGUCAGUUCGCGCUUAUGCAGAGACAAAAUCUGGGCCAGUUGUCAAUCCAACAAUUGACACAUCUUUUGACUCGUUGGAUGAAGCCUAUGAGUUCUACAACCUCUAUUCAUGGGAAUAUGGUUUCGGGGUGAGGCUUGCGAAAAGCAGACUGAAUGUUAAUCGGAAGAGAUGUAUGCAAGAAAUAAUGUGUGCUUGUGCGGGCAAACCAAUGAGGGAAAACAGUCGAUCAUCAAGGUGCGGGUGUGAAGCCAUGAUUAGAUUGCUCCGUUCAAAUGACAACGGUUGGUACAUACCAGAGUUCAAAUCUGGCCAUAACCACCCGCUGUCUGUGACAUGUGGAGAAAAAAUGCAUUGGAAGUCACACAGGCACAUCGAUAGAUACACAAAGGAUCUGGUGAAACAACUCCGUGUUAAUAAUGUUGGUCUUGGGAAGGUUUUCAGCAUUGUGGGGAGUUUUUUUGGCUCAGUUCAAAAUGUGCCAUUUACCAAGCGUUCAUCAAAGACACUGUGUAGGAAGCUGAACAAGGACCAGUCAGACUCUGACGCUAUGAAAACAAUGGAAAUUCUGGCUGAUAUGAAAGCAAAUGAUCCAGACUUCAAUUACACCGUGCAAGUAGAUGAAGACAGCAGGAUAAAAACACUCAUGUGGGUUACGAGUAGGGGGUGUGAUCAGUAUAGGUAUUUCGGUGAUGCAAUUACAUUUGACACAACAUACAGGACCAACCUAUAUGACAUGUCGUUUGGUCUUUUCGUUGGUGUCAACAAUCGCUUCCUGAGUAUAGUCUUUGGAGGGGUCAUGAUGAGAGAUGAGAAAGAAGAAUCUUUCAAGUGGGUGUUCCGGGAGUUCAUACGUAUGGUUGGUGGGAAGCAUCCGCAAACCAUACUUACAGACCAAGCGCGCUCUAUGGAAAUUGCAAUCGAGGCAGAAAUGCCAAACACAGUACAUCGUUGGUGCAAGUGGCAUGUCCUGAAAAAAGCGAAAGAGUCAAUGGGUGUGCUUUGGAGCAAGAACAGUGAAUUCAAAAUGGAGUUUCACAAGCUUGUACAUCACAUGAACGCGGAAGAGGAAUUUGAGCAAGGGUGGCAGCAGAUGUUGGACAAGUACUCACUCAAGAAACAUCUGUUUCUGACGCAGAUAUACGAAGUCCGGCAUAAAUGA
rnacentral:rRNA from 1 species